GGAUGAACGCUAGCUACAGGCUUAACACAUGCAAGUCGAGGGGCAUCAGGAAGAAAGCUUGCUUUCUUUGCUGGCGACCGGCGCACGGGUGAGUAACACGUAUCCAACCUGCCCUUUACUCGGGGAUAGCCUUUCGAAAGAAAGAUUAAUACCCGAUAGCAUAAUGAUUCCGCAUGGUUUCAUUAUUAAAGGAUUCCGGUAAAGGAUGGGGAUGCGUUCCAUUAGGUUGUUGGUGAGGUAACGGCCCACCAAGCCUUCGAUGGAUAGGGGUUCUGAGAGGAAGGUCCCCCACAUUGGAACUGAGACACGGUCCAAACUCCUACGGGAGGCAGCAGUGAGGAAUAUUGGUCAAUGGGCGCUAGCCUGAACCAGCCAAGUAGCGUGAAGGAUGAAGGCUCUAUGGGUCGUAAACUUCUUUUAUAUAAGAAUAAAGUGCAGUAUGUAUACUGUUUUGUAUGUAUUAUAUGAAUAAGGAUCGGCUAACUCCGUGCCAGCAGCCGCGGUAAUACGGAGGAUCCGAGCGUUAUCCGGAUUUAUUGGGUUUAAAGGGAGCGUAGGUGGACUGGUAAGUCAGUUGUGAAAGUUUGCGGCUCAACCGUAAAAUUGCAGUUGAUACUGUCAGUCUUGAGUACAGUAGAGGUGGGCGGAAUUCGUGGUGUAGCGGUGAAAUGCUUAGAUAUCACGAAGAACUCCGAUUGCGAAGGCAGCUCACUGGACUGCAACUGACACUGAUGCUCGAAAGUGUGGGUAUCAAACAGGAUUAGAUACCCUGGUAGUCCACACAGUAAACGAUGAAUACUCGCUGUUUGCGAUAUACAGUAAGCGGCCAAGCGAAAGCAUUAAGUAUUCCACCUGGGGAGUACGCCGGCAACGGUGAAACUCAAAGGAAUUGACGGGGGCCCGCACAAGCGGAGGAACAUGUGGUUUAAUUCGAUGAUACGCGAGGAACCUUACCCGGGCUUAAAUUGCAGUGGAAUGAUGUGGAAACAUGUCAGUGAGCAAUCACCGCUGUGAAGGUGCUGCAUGGUUGUCGUCAGCUCGUGCCGUGAGGUGUCGGCUUGAGUGCCAUAACGAGCGCAACCCUUAUCUUUAGUUACUAACAGGUUAUGCUGAGGACUCUAGAGAGACUGCCGUCGUAAGAUGUGAGGAAGGUGGGGAUGACGUCAAAUCAGCACGGCCCUUACGUCCGGGGCUACACACGUGUUACAAUGGGGGGUACAGAAGGCAGCUAGCGGGUGACCGUAUGCUAAUCCCAAAAUCCUCUCUCAGUUCGGAUCGAAGUCUGCAACCCGACUUCGUGAAGCUGGAUUCGCUAGUAACCGCGCAUCAGCCACGGCGCGGUGAAUACGUCCCCGGGCCUUGUACACACCGCCCGUCAAGCCAUGGGAGCCGGGGGUACCUGAAGUACGUAACCGCAAGGAUCGUCCUAGGGUAAAACUGGUG
rnacentral:rRNA from 1 species